GGGAGGGGCGGCGCGGGCGAGGGCAGCGACCCCCUGGGCUCCCUGGGGAGGCCCAACAUGACCCGGAUUUGUCCCUUUCCCCCCUUUCGCUCGUACCGCGCGCCACACCCGAUGCUGUGUGACCUCAGCGCCUCCCCCGAGCGCCUUCCCUCCUCACAAACUCCCCCAAACCCCUCACCCGAGCCGCGGCCGCCCCUCCCUUCACACGUCUCCCCUCACGGCACCCAGCCAAUCAGCGACGUCUGCUCUGCGCUCCUCACCUCUGAUUGGAUGAUCCCGCGCAGCGUCCCGCCGCCCCGCCUUUAAAAAGCAGCAACUGGGUAGAGAGGCGUGGCUUAUUCUAUCUCUGCCUUCUGAUUGGCUGGCGGAGCGCCCUCACAGCCUAUAGAAAGCGGCUCCCGGGGAGGGGCGGGGUUAACUUCCCUGAGGCGAAGGAAAAAGGCGGGAAAGCUCCGGAGCUCCUGAGGGGAUUUUUUUUCCCGCCUUUCCAUUUUGGCAUCAGAAAAUCAACUCAGCGCCUUAAAUCUUACUGAAAUACACAAAUGAAUUUUAAAGAAAACUUUAAUGUUUUUUUUUUCUCGUGGGGAGACCAGACAGUGUUGUUUUCGACCCCUUUUUGGGGCGGAAAAGGGAAUUUCUGCAGCAUGACUGAGGCAGAGAGGUACGAGACAGAGACACCGUGGUACAGGCGUUUCUCUUCAGGGCCUACAACAAGCAGCUGUUUUUCACCCCAUUUUGCUGGCCAUGGCACUGAGGUACUCCAGCCCAGGAGCAACUGCACCCCCUCAACUUCUUCACACCUGUGAGUCCUUAAUUAGGGCUUUAAUGAACCCCUGCCUUAAUUAGGGUCCUAACACCCUCCCAGUCCAGAGGGGAUCCCAAUGAUGCCCCAGUAAUUAAACAGAGGGCCCUAAUUAAGCCUUCGUAAUGAACUUGGGCGGGUUGUAAUGAAGCAGGGGGUUCUUGAGUUAUUUUUGCUAAUGAAGUGGGGGGCUUUAAUUAAGCAAGGGGCCCUAAUGAUGAUUCCAUUAAUUAAGCAGGAAGGGCAAAGAAAUCAUCAAAACUGGGGAUUUUACAGCAAGUUUGGACCCAAUUUCCCUUUUAUUUCGUGUGGACAUUUGGUAUUUUUUUGGUUUGACCCCAAAUUGAGCCCUUUUUUCUUUUCUUUUUUAACCCUAAAAUUGGUUCCUUUUUGCUUCUCACCCAGAAUUGGGGU